GAGUUUGAUCCUGGCUCAGAACGAACGCUGGCGGCGUGGAUAAGACAUGCAAGUCGAACGGGAUUUUUUCCUGUAGCAAUACAGGAAAAAGUCUAGUGGCGAACGGGUGCGUAACACGUGAGCAACCUGCCGUGAAGUGGGGGAUAGCUCGCCGAAAGGCGAAUUAAUACCGCAUGUGGCCAAGGAAGACAUCUUCCUGACGCCAAAGCCGGGGUAACCUGGCGCUUCUCGAGGGGCUCGCGGCCUAUCAGCUUGUUGGUGAGGUAACGGCUCACCAAGGCUAUGACGGGUAGCUGGUCUGAGAGGACGACCAGCCACACUGGAACUGAGACACGGUCCAGACACCUACGGGUGGCAGCAGUCGAGAAUUUUUCACAAUGGGGGAAACCCUGAUGGAGCGACGCCGCGUGGAGGAUGAAGGUUUUCGGAUUGUAAACUCCUGUCAUUAGAGAACAAGGCACAUGGUUUAACUGGCCGUGUGUUGAUAGUAUCUGAAGAGGAAGGGACGGCUAACUCUGUGCCAGCAGCCGCGGUAAUACAGAGGUCUCAAGCGUUGUUCGGGUUCAUUGGGCGUAAAGGGUGCGUAGGUGGCGAUGUAAGUCGGAUGUGAAAUCUCCAAGCUUAACUUGGAAACUGCAUUCGAUACUGCKUUGCUAGAGGACUGUAGAGGGCAUUGGAAUUCACGGUGUAGCAGUGAAAUGCGUAGAUAUCGUGAGGAAGACCAGUGGCGAAGGCGAAUGCCUGGGCAGUUCCUGACACUUGAGGCACGAAGGCCAGGGGAGCAAACGGGAUUAGAUACCCCGGUAGUCCUGGCAGUAAACGGUGCACGUUUGGUGUGGGAGGAUUCGACCCCUUCCGUGCCGGAGCUAACGCGUUAAACGUGCCGCCUGGGGAGUACGGUCGCAAGAUUAAAACUCAAAGAAAUUGACGGGGACCCGCACAAGCGGUGGAGUAUGUGGCUUAAUUCGAUGCAACGCGAAGAACCUUACCUGGCCUUGACAUGCAUCUCUAAUCCGGUGAAAGCCGGUGAGUGUAGCAAUACACAAUUUGCACAGGUGCUGCAUGGCUGUCGUCAGCUCGUGUCGUGAGAUGUUGGGUUAAGUCCCGCAACGAGCGCAACCC
rnacentral:rRNA from 1 species